rnacentral:rRNA from 1 species
CAGCAGCCACGGGAAUACGGAGGGUGCAAGCGUUAAUCGGAAUUACUGGGCGUAAAGCGUGCGUAGGUGGUGGUUUAAGUCCGUUGUGAAAGCCCUGGGCUCAACCUGGGAAUUGCAGUGGAUACUGGGUCACUAGAGUGUGGUAGAGGAUAGUGGAAUUUCCGGUGUAGCAGUGAAAUGCGUAGAGAUCGGAAGGAACAUCUGUGGCGAAGGCGACUAUCUGGGCCAACACUGACACUGAGGCACGAAAGCGUGGGGAGCAAACAGGAUUAGAUACCCCCGUAGUCCCUGUCUCUUAUAC